GCGUUGGUGGUUUAGUGGUAAAAUUGGCCGUUGCCAUCUGAUUGGUUCAAAUCCCAGUCAUGUAACAUCGGCCAGCCCCGGGUUCGAUUCCCGGCCGACGCA